rfam:Ovis aries breed Texel chromosome 17, whole genome shotgun sequence.
UCCUUAGUAGCUCAGAUGGUAAAGCAUCUGCCUGUAAUGCAGGAGACCCAGGUUCGAUCCCUUGGUCAGGAA